rnacentral:rRNA from 1 species
CGAUGAAGCCCCUCGGGGUGUAAAGCUCUUUCGGCAGGGACGAUUAUGACGGUACCUGCAAAAGCAGCUGCGGCUAACUACGUGCCAGCAGCCGCGGUAAUACGUAGGCAGCAAGCGUUGUUCGGAGUUACUGGGCGUAAAGGGUGCGUAGGCGGCUUUUUAAGUUUGGUGUGAAAUCUCCCGGCUCAACCGGGAGGGUGCGCCGAAUACUGAGAGGCUAGAGUGUGGGAGAGGAAAGUGGAAUUCCUGGUGUAGCGGUGAAAUGCGUAGAUAUCAGGAGGAACACCGGUGGUGUAAACGGCUUUCUGGACCAUAACUGACGCUGAGGCACGAAAGCGUGGGUAGCAAACAGG